ensembl:lncRNA
GUUUGAGUUGUUGAUGUAGUGCCAUGUUUAAGUUGUUGAUGUAGUUCCAUGUUUAAGUUGUUGAUGUAGUUCCAUGUUUAAGUUGUUGAUGUAGUGCCAUGUUUAAGUUGUUGAUGUAGUUCCAUGUUUAAGUUGUUGAUGUAGUGCCAUGUUUAAGUUGUUGAUGUAGUUCCAUGUUUAAGUUGUUGAUGUAGUUCCACGUUUAAGUUGUUGAUGUAGUUCCACGUUUAAGUUGUUGAUGUAGUGCCACGUUUAAGUUGUUGAUGUAGUUCCACGUUUAAGUUGUUGAUGUAGUGCCAUGUUUAAGUUGUUGAUGUAGUUCCACGUUUAAGUUGUUGAUGUAGUGCCAUGUUUAAGUUGUUGAUGUAGUUCCAUGUUUAAGUUGUUGAUGUAGUGCCAUGUUUAAGUUGUUGAUGUAGUGCCAUGUUUAAGUUGUUGAUGUAGUGCCAUGUUUAAGUUGUUGAUGUAGUGCCAUGUUUAAGUUGUUGAUGUAGUGCCAUGUUUAAGUUGUUGAUGUAGUUCCACGUUUAAGUUGUUGAUGUAGUUCCACGUUUAAGUUGUUGAUGUAGUUCCACGUUUAAGUUGUUGAUGUAGUGCCACGUUUAAGUUGUUGAUGUAGUGCCAUGUUUAAGUUGUUGAUGUAGUGCCAUGUUUAAGUUGUUGAUGUAGUUCCACGUUUAAGUUGUUGAUGUAGUUCCACGUUUAAGUUGUUGAUGUAGUUCCACGUUUAAGUUGUUGAUGUAGUUCCACGUUUAAGUUGUUGAUGUAGUUCCAAGUUUAAGUUGUUGAUGUAGUUCCAUGUUUAAGUUGUUGAUGUAGUUCCAUGUUUAAGUUGUUGAUGUAGUUCCAUGUUUAAGUUGUUGAUGUAUUGUCAUAUUUAUGUUCUUGCCAUAUUGCCAUUUUGAAGGAAUAGUUUCUUGAGCACACAACGGAGCAGCACUGUCUCUGUCUUUUCCGUCCCGUAGACACACCAGAAGGUUAAUAUGUCUACAUUAUUGUCUUUUCUACAGUGGAACGACAUGUUUAGUUUCUUCUUCAAUGUGUUUAAAACAAACAUGAAAUUGCCACUAUGCCAAUGCAGACCUACAAUAUACAGUAAGUGGUGCGUUCAGCAAGCCCAUUAUUUACUCAGAUCACAGUAAUCCAAGCCCAUUAUUUACUCAGAUCACAGUAAUCCAAGCCCAUUAUUUACUCACAGAUAGAUCACAGUAAUCCAAUAUCUCUAUCCAAAUGUGCCUAUAGUAUCGAAACUAUUGCAUAUCCUGAUUAGAUUUCCCUUAUGUUAUUUUGUGAGCACCAGUUCCCUUCCCAUAUUUCAUUAUUGAACAUAUAAUUCCUAAUGCCUAGAAUGAUAACUGUUUCAUAUGUACAGUAGAGCCAACUGAACAAAAAAAAGAUUUACUAAGUAUUAUCAUUGUGUCUGCAACAACAUACUUACUGUAUGUUCCUUAAAGUUUGCUAUUACACUUUUGUAUUGAAUGAGAACAAUGCACGCAUCAAAUCUAUUUUACAAAUGUAGUGACAGUAUACUGCAUGUAUGGCAAAAAAAGUCAACACUUGUUUACAAUUGAAUCAGAUGUAGGAUCUUAAUUUGAGCCAGUUUGCUACUGCAAGAAAAUAAUCAUGCAGCAACAGGAAAUGUGAAUUAAUAUGUGGAUUCUAAUAUACUUCUAGGGGAUGAUACAUUUUUCAUCAAGUCUUCAGAAGCCUUUUUAAACCACAAACGUUCUCCUGCAACAGGGCGAUCAAAUUAAGAUCCCACCUGUAUAUUUACAUUGCCUCAAGGUAUGAGCAAAUAUUCAUACUAAAGAAAGGAUGUUAUCUUUAUGUAAAGUUUGUUUUGAAUCUGUUCACUUAUUUGUUCUCAUUUAUUUUAGUUGUGAGGGAAAGUGAAGGUUGGUUAUAUUCCCCCCAUGUACAUAGACACUGUGAUUUAGAAAAUACAUGACUAAUAGUUAAUGAAAGUGAGGGUUUAUAGUUAUUUUUUAAUAAUAUUUGGUUAAAAUAUUUUUGUGUAUGGUUAGCAAAGCAAUUGAGAGAGAUUAUGCGUUUCAAAAUAACCUUUAAAACGAUCUCCACUGGAGUCUGAAAUAUUAACAUAAGCCCCAAAUGAAGACGACUUGGUAGCCAAAAGAUGUUCAGUUUGAAAUGAACCUCUUAGAUAAUGUGCAUGUUUGUGCCAAAAUGGCAACAAGUUUGGUGGUCCCUGCUCCUCAACUCACCUUACUGAUGGCCUGUGAUAGGCAGGGACUCCCUGAGUGAGCCAUUUGUUGUGUAUGACGAUGAGGAUGAUACUGUAUCUACAAUAGAAACAGCAGACACGUAGCAUGUUGCAUUCAUGUUUUUCCCUCAUAUUUAGUUCCUUAAAUAGGUCAUGUUUUUGCUUCCCCUGGUCGCUAUUUAAACCAUGACCUAGGGUGUUUACAGCCUAGAAAUAGAAUGACAUGUCAUUCUAUGUCAUUGUAUAUCUAUGCUUUACAGUGUGUACCUCCCUCUUGGUCUCUGGUUUGCAUGCUGAUAAUGAAGAAUUCUUUUCCAAACCAGACAUUGGACAUAAUUGUCGUCAUUUCUGUGGUUUGUGAAAUGCUUUGUAAUGGAUUGCCUUAAUAAAGUGACUGAAGAUUAAUG